rnacentral:rRNA from 1 species
UAGGGAAUCUUCCACAAUGGACGCAAGUCUGAUGGAGCAACGCCGCGUGAGUGAAGAAGGCUUUCGGGUCGUAAAACUCUGUUAUUGAAGAAGAACGUGCGUGACAGUAACUGGUCAUGCAGUGACGGUAUUCAAUCAGAAAGUCACGGCUAACUACGUGCCAGCAGCCGCGGUAAUACGUAGGUGGCAAGCGUUGUCCGGAUUUAUUGGGCGUAAAGCGAGUGCAGGCGGUCUUUUAAGUCUGAUGUGAAAGCCUUCGGCUUAACCGAAGAAGGGCAUCGGAAACUGGGAGACUUGAGUGCAGAAGAGGAGAGUGGAACUCCAUGUGUAGCGGUGAAAUGCGUAGAUAUAUGGAAGAACACCAGUGGCGAAGGCGGCUCUCUGGUCUGUAACUGACGCUGAGGCUCGAAAGCGUGGGUAGCAAACAGGAUUAGAUACCCUGGUAGUUCACGCCGUAAACGAUGAAUACUAAGUGUUGGAGGGUUUCCGCCCUUCAGUGCUGCAGCUAACGCAUUAAGUAUUCCGCCUGGGGAGUACGACCGCAAGGUUGAAAC